rnacentral:rRNA from 1 species
CCCUUAGAUGUUCUGGGCCGCACGCGUGCUACACUGAGUGGAUCAGCGGGUCAGGUUGCGCGAAAGUGUUUCCUAAUCUUGAAAUCCGCUCGUGAUGGGGAUUGACGGUUGCAAUUUUCCGUCAUGAACGAGGAAUACCUUGUAAGCGCGGGUCAUCAUCCCGCGCUGAAUACGUCCCUGCCCUUUGUACACACCGCCCGUCGCUCCUACCGAUUGAGUGGUCCGGUGAGGCUUUGGGAUCUGAGCGGAAAGAGCGUUUCGCUGUUUCUGCUCGGAAAACUCAGUCGAACCUUAUCAUUUAGGGGAAGGAGAAGUCGUAACA